rnacentral:rRNA from 1 species
UCGCCGCGGUAAUACGUAGGGUGCAAGCGUUAAUCGGAAUUACUGGGCGUAAAGCGUGCGCAGGCGGUUUGUUAAGACAGAUGUGAAAUCCCCGGGCUUAACCUGGGAACUGCAUUUGUGACUGGCAAGCUAGAGUAUGGCAGAGGGGGGUGGAAUUCCACGUGUAGCAGUGAAAUGCGUAGAGAUGUAGAGGAAUACCGAUGGCGAAGGCAGCCCCCUGGGCCAAUACUGACGCUCAUGCACGAAAGCGUGGGGAGCAAACAGGAUUAGAUACCCGUGUAGUCCCUGUCUCUUAUACCCA